rnacentral:rRNA from 1 species
GGGGAAUCUUGCGCAAUGGGCGAAAGCCUGACGCAGCGACGCCGCGUGAGCGAUGAAGGCCUUCGGGUCGUAAAGCUCUGUCAGAGGGGACGAUAAUGACGGUACCCUCAGAGGAAGCCCCGGCUAACUACGUGCCAGCAGCCGCGGUAAGACGUAGGGGGCUAGCGUUGUCCGGAAUUACUGGGCGUAAAGGGCGUGUAGGCGGCCUUGCAAGUCAGUGGUGAAACACCUGGGCUCAACCGAGGUAUUGCCGUUGAAACUGCUGGGCUUGAGGGUAGAAGAGGAGUGUGGAAUUCCCGGUGUAGCGGUGAAAUGCGUAGAGAUCGGGAGGAACACCAGUGGCGAAGGCGGCACUCUGGUCUACCCCUGACGCUGAGGCGCGAAAGCUAGGGGAGCAAAC